rnacentral:tRNA from 14 species
GCCGAUGUAGCUCAACAGCAGAGCAAUACUUUUGUAAAGUAUAGGUUGUCGGUGCAAAUCCGACCAUCGGCUCAA